UCAAGGCUUCAAAAUGCCUUUGGCUAGAGGCUGAUGAGUUGCUUAAGCCAUACAUGUAGUUUUAACUUGGGAUAAGGGAGUUGAGACUUUAGAGGUGUGUUUGCUGUCACUCUGUCUUUUUUUUUUUUUUUUUUUUUUUUUGCCUUUGCAUCUGCUUCCCCAGUGAUCUUUCUCUGUCUGCAUUUCUCUGUCUUGUCUCCAUCUCCUUCUGCCUUGAUAUCCGCCCCCACCCCCACCCUUUGUUCUCCUGGCCGUUUUCCCCAUCCAGUCUCCCCUGGCCAUGGCUCAAUCCUCCUAGCUCUCCGGGGAAAGAGGAGGAUGCUAAAGCUGCCAUUCCUACUUGGGUAUCUACUGCGGGCACAGGCAUCUCGGAAUCCCACUGCAUCAUCGGUGGCAGGAAGUGGGUGGGCAUUAAUGUAGUUUCACUCGCUGGAUCGAGAGUUAUUGACAGCUUAGAUUUUCUUUUUUCUGCUUGUCAAAAAUUUCUUUCUCUUUCUUUUCUUCUCUUUUUUUCUUUUUUUUUUUCUUGGAUACGGGAACCAGAACCACGAAAUCCUGCAAGCUUUGAAGGCCGGCGAAAGGGCUCCCCCGUCGGUGGCGCCGGAGGGAGAAGCGUUUAGUCACUGUUUCAUUAGGCACUAUUUGAACCUUGCAACAUGUGGUAAUUUCUGGGGCAAGCUGAAAAGGGGGGAUUAUGUAGGAGGGACAUAAGGAAAUUAGCCAACGGUUAAUUUAACUCGUUUUCUGCUAGACUUUUCGAUACAUUCCUAAUUGACUGAGGGGCAGGUGAAGCUCCCGCCCCAUGCAGGCUCAUUCACGGUGGGAAUAAAUGGCUCUUUCUCAACUCACACUGCUCACAAUAUAUCAUCAGGGAAAAGACAUGCAAUGAAUAUGUUGAUUUUUUUUAUUAAUGGAAUUACACCCUGCCAUGCAGGUGUGAGGGUAAAAACCUAUACUGCAAUGAAAUAAGAUUAACAAUGAAAUUAGAAUUUUAUUAGCUUUAUAUGUCACACAGACCUGGAUUUGAACUGUCAAAACAAGCAACAAGAAAAGAUAUUCUGAACGCAGCCCUGUCAAUCAACCAGGAGAAACGAACAGCGUGGUAUCGAAAUCAUAAUCACCUUCCAGUUCUUCAGCGCCUCACUUGGGCCUUACGUGAGAAGCAAGUGGGUGGAGGACCCCGCGUGGGCAAAGGCCUGGUCUCUGGACCUGCAGAUAGUAGAUGAAAAACACCACCUGGGUUCGGUAGACCCGGCCUAAAAAAGGCUCGGGUCCAGGCUAGAAGGGCCUGGAUGGCCCGAGGCCUCCAAGAUAUCAGACGGACCGGCUGGGCACCCGCGGCCUGCAGGCCAUAUUUCGCGUCCUCCAAAUCAGCUGCCUAGGGCGGGCCGUGACCCGAGGGAAUUGGAGAGAAAAGUCCAAACGCUGGGCGAGAGGCGGGGUAGGGCGCCCUUUGGAAACCGCCCUGGGUUUUGUUACUCCGGGGCCCCCGGAGCUUCGGCACAGCUACCUGGGUCUGGCAGGCGCAGAGGUGCCGUAUGCAAAUGGUUCACUAUUAGGCGAGAAAGAAAUACUUCAAAUGGCCCUUUGUAACCUUCUAUAGAAAAUCGAGGUACUCUGCAUGACAAAGCACAAUUAAGCUUUCUAUUCAGGAGUUCUGCAGCUGGUAGCCCAUUGGGAAAGUGGGAGGAAACGCGAAUAUAUUAAUAGUGUGGCGAAAGUUUUUUGUGUGCGUGUCCUUUUCUAGGUCGGGGGUGGGGAGGGGCGGUGGGUGGACGCAGAGGGAGGAAGGCUCAGCCUUGGAUCCUUGCCACCUGAACAACGUCGCCUCUGCCCACGUGGAAAGCCUCGCUUGUCUGGCAGCCGGGGUUCUGAAUGGUUGCCGCGACCCCUGCGCUCCCAGCAGGGCCAAGAGGACCUCGCGGGCACCAGCGUCCGGGCGGGAAGGGACGUGUGCCCAAGCCUCGCCUCCUGGCCCUCAGUGGGCUGGGACGCCCUUGAUCACCGGCGCAGGAAAGAGGCUCCCCAGCCCGUGAGCUUCGUCCGGGCGCCAGGGCAGGGAUGGCUGGUGGUGUGCACUGGAGAGCACGACGGUGACGCUGCGUGGGAAAGAGACGUGGGAAGGGCAUAGCCGGAUUAUCCACUCAGCUCCAAUUUUCUCCAAGCGCCACUCACCCCACAGUUGAGGUUCGCUUCCCGAUUGUUCAUUUGUAGAGUCUAAAGGGAAAGAAAAUUUUGCCUCUGAAUAAAUAAAGGGCCCUUAAAAACAACUCUGCUGAUUAUCCUGCGUUUUCCAUCUGGAUCCAUUUCGCCCUCUUCUGCCCUGCUGGGUGCCCUCGGACACUGACCUUUGUGGACAGUAUUAGUUCCUUUAUCAACUGCGUCACUGGCAGGCGCUUGCCUCUGGCUUCCAUUUGCAUUUGGUGAAUAAGUGGCACUGCAAAUAACCGAACAACCUAAGGAUAGAGAACUGCAGUUCCAAAGGUGGGAAAGUUCAAGAUCAAGGCACCAGCAUUGGUAUUUUGUGAGGGCUGCUGUCUGCUCCCAAGACGUCACCAUGUUGCUGUGUUCUCAAGUGGUGGAAGGCGGAAGAGCAAGAGAGCAAAAAGGACCUAAGCUAGUUCACUCCAUUCAUGAGGGCAGAUCCCCCAGGACCUAAUCACUUCCCAGGAGGUCCCAGCUCUUCUCAGGCCAUCCUCCUACCUUGGCCUCCCAAAGCACUGGGAUUACAGAUAUGAACCACCACGCCUGGCCACUGGUAGUUAAUUUCUUUUUUUAAAAAAAUUAUUAUGUUAAAACUUUUGUGGGUACAUAGUAACUGUAUAUAUUUAUGGGGUACAUGACAUAGGCAUGCGAUAAGCAAUAAUCACAUCAUGGAAAAUGAGGUAUCCAUCCCCUCAAGCAUUUAUCCUUUGUAUUACAGACAAUCCAAUUACACUCUUAGAUAUUUUUAAAUGUACAGUUAAAUAUCAUUGACUAUAAUCACUCUUUUGUGCUAUCAAAUACUAGGUCUUACUCAUUCUUUCUAACUGUAUACACUUUUUGUUCCCACUAACCAUCCGCAGGCUGGGCGGAGUGGCUCACUCCUGUAAUCCCAGCACUUUGGGAGGCCCAGGCAGGCAGAUCACUUGAGGCCAAGAAUUCAAGACCAGCCUGGCCAACAUGGCGAAAUCUUAUCUCUGCUAAAAAUACAAAAAUUAGCAGGUGUAGUGGUGGGUGCCUGUAACCCCAGCUACUUGGGACACUGAGGCAUGAGAACUGCUCGAAGCUGGGAGGUGGAGGCUGCAGUGAGCCAAGAUCAUGCCACUGCACUCCAGCCUGUGACAGUGUGUGACUCUGUCUCAAAACAAAAACAAAAACCAUCUCCGCUUACCCCCAACCCCUCACUACCCUUCCCAGCCUCUGGUAACUAUCCUUCUACUCUCUAUCUCCACAAGUUCAAUUGUACUGAUUUUUACCACCCACAAAUAAGUAAGAACAUGUGAAGUUUGUCUUUCUGUGUCUG
rnacentral:lncRNA from 10 species